AGAGUUUGAUCCUGGCUCAGAUUGAACGCUGGCGGCGUGCCUAACACAUGCAAGUCGAACGUGAAAGUUCCUUCGGGAGCGAGUAAAGUGGCGCACGGGUGAGUAACACGUGGAUAAUCUACCGGGAAGUUGGGGAUAACGACUGGAAACGGUCGCUAAUACCGAAUACGCUGUUCUAUUUGUUUAGGACAGGAAAGGAGGCCUCUGCAUAUGCUUCCGCUUUUCGAUGAGUCCGCGUCCCAUUAGCUAGUUGGCGGGGUAAAGGCCCACCAAGGCGACGAUGGGUAGCUGGUCUGAGAGGAUGAUCAGCCACACUGGGACUGGAACACGGCCCAGACUCCUACGGGAGGCAGCAGUGGGGAAUAUUGCGCAAUGGGCGAAAGCCUGACGCAGCGACGCCGCGUGAGGGAUGAAGGUCCUCGGAUCGUAAACCUCUGUCAGAAGGGAAGAAGUUGCACUGUGCUAAUCAGCGGUGCAUUGACGGUACCUUCAAAGGAAGCACCGGCUAACUCCGUGCCAGCAGCCGCGGUAAUACGGAGGGUGCGAGCGUUAAUCGGAAUUACUGGGCGUAAAGCGCACGUAGGCUGUAUAUCAAAGUCAAGGGUGAAAUCCCCGGGCUCAACCUGGGAACUGCCUUUGAAACUGGUAAACUGGAGUAUGUGAGAGGGUGGCGGAAUUCCUGGUGUAGGAGUGAAAUCCGUAGAUAUCAGGAGGAACAUCAGUGGCGAAGGCGGCCACCUGGCACAAAACUGACGCUGAGGUGCGAAAGCGUGGGUAGCAAACAGGAUUAGAUACCCUGGUAGUCCACGCUGUAAACGAUGGAUACUGGGUGUUGGGAUGUAUGUCUCGGCGCCGUAGCUAACGCGUUAAGUAUCCCGCCUGGGGAGUACGGUCGCAAGGCUGAAACUCAAGAAAUUGACGGGGGCUCGCACAAGCGUGGAGUUUGUGGUUUAAUUCGAUGCAACGCGAAGAA
rnacentral:rRNA from 1 species